rnacentral:rRNA from 1 species
UNCCACGUGUAGCAGUGAAAUGCGUAGAGAUGUGGAGGAAUACCGAUGGCGAAGGCAGCNUCCUGGGAUAACACUGACGUUCAUGCUNGAAAGCGUGGGUAGCAAACAGGAUUAGAUACCCUGGUAGUCCACGCCCUAAACGAUGUCAAUUAGCUGUUGGGCAACUUGAUUGCUUAGUAGCGUAGCUAACGCGUGAAAUUGACCGCCUGGGGAGUACGGUCGCAAGAUUAAAACUCAAAGGAAUUGACGGGGACCCGCACAAGCGGUGGAUGAUGUGGAUUAAUUCGAUGCAACGCGAAGAACCUUACCUGGUCUUGACAUGUACGGAAUCCUCCAGAGACGGAGGAGUGCCUUCGGGAGCCGUAACACAGGUGCUGCAUGGCUGUCGUCAGCUCGUGUCGUGAGAUGUUGGGUUAAGUCCCGCAACGAGCGCAACCCUUGUCAUUAGUUGCCAUCAUUUAGUUGGGCACUCUAAUGAGACUGCCGGUGACAAGCCGGAGGAAGGUGGGGAUGACGUCAAGUCCUCAUGGCCCUUAUGACCAGGGCUUCACACGUCAUACAAUGGUCGGUACAGAGGGUAGCCAAGCCGCGAGGUGGAGCCAAUCUCACAAAACCGAUCGUAGUCCGGAUUGCACUCUGCAACUCGAGUGCAUGAAGUCGGAAUCGCUAGUAAUCGCAGGUCAGCAUACUGCGGUGAAUACGUUCCCGGGUCUUGUACACACCGCCCGUCACACCAUGGGAGUGGGGGAUACCAGAAGUAGGUAGGGU